rnacentral:rRNA from 1 species
AGAGAGAAGCUUGUUUCUCUUGAGAGCGGCGGWCGGGUGAGUAAAGCCUAGGAAUCUGCCUGGUAGUGGGGGAUAACGUUCGGAAACGGACGCUAAUACCGCAUACGUCCUACGGGAGAAAGCAGGGGACCUUCGGGCCUUGCGCUAUCAGAUGAGCCUAGGUCGGAUUAGCUAGUUGGUGAGGUAAUGGCUCACCAAGGCGACCAUCCGUAACUGGUCUGAGAGGAUGAUCAGUCACACUGGAACUGAUACACGGUCCAGACUCCUACGGGAGGCAGCAGUGGGGAAUAUUGGACAAUGGGCGAAAGCCUGAUCCAGCCMUGCCGCGUGUGUGAAGAAGGUCUUCUGAUUGUAAAGCACUUUAAGUUGGGAGGAAGGGCAUUAACCUAAUACGUUWGYGUUUUGACKUUACCGACWSAMUAAGCMCCGGCUAACUCUGUGCCA